UGCUAUCCAAUUAGAACCCAGUUUUAAAUAAUAACCCACCCCGGGAGGAGGCGGAGAAAGCGCUCUCACAAGUGUGGCGUCAGCGUGCAGCUGCGCUUUUGACGAAGAACUGCCGCAAAGAUGCUUCACAGAGAAACAGAUGGAAAACUGGACAGAAACGUGAACCCCCAAGAAGCAAGCAUGUGAGAUGUGGAGUGGACGGAGUCAACAUCCUCAACUUUACGGCCAGAUGGGAUAUCCUCCUCAGACUCCAAACCCAAGAAGUACACCUGUUUGCUGGGCAGAAGGCCAUCUCACCUGGAUGUUCCUGUUGAGCAGGGUCUUGGCCAGGUUCUUCAGUGAGAUGCUGCCCCUAGCCGGCAUGCCAGAUAGCUGUCUGAGCAGACGUGUGCAGCAGGUGUCCCGGAUCAUGUGACUGGGGGGAAUGAAGCCCAGCGCCCGGAAGUCAUUGUGUAAGGCAUGACCGACCAGAAUCUUCCCCUUCAGAAUCUGUAGUAUCUGAAAACAAACUUAAGGCAUCAUCAUCCAGAACACAGCAACACAACACUCUCCACAAUCAUUAGCAGCCUGUUUUACCUCUCCCCUGUGAAAAACACACUGUCUCACCUUUUCAGUCAAUCAAUAAGCACCGUCUCACCUCUCACCCCAUCACUGAAAUCCUAUCUCAUCCUUCCACUCCAUGACUGACAUCCAUUCUUACCCUUCUACCCCCUCAGUGAUGCCGUCUCACCCUUCUACAUCACUGAUGCCCUGCCUCACCCUUCUACUCCCUCACUGAUGCCCUGUCUCACCCUUCUACUCCAUAACUGAUGCCCUGCCUCACCCUUCUACUCCAUCACUGAAGCGGUCUCACCCUUCUACCCCCUCACUGAUGCCCUGUCUCACCCUUCUACUCCCUCACUGAUGCCCUGUCUCACCCUUCUACUUCCUCACUGAUGCCCUGUCUCACCCUUCUACUUCCUCACUGAUGCCCUCUCUUACCCUUCUACUCCAUCACUGAUCCCCUGUCUCACCUCUUUCCUGGCCUGCUGGAAGGGUACAGCAUGCAGCAGGUGAUGUGGGUAGAUGCCACUCCAGCGGGUGCGGUAGUCGGUGACGGGUAGCAGGGGCUGGACAUACUGGUCAUACAGGACUUCGCCGUGGUAAUUCACCAGGCUACAUCGGGCCAGCUCACUGCAGCGGCCCUCGUGCCCCGUGCCGACCAUCUCGCAGUCCAUAGCCACCAGCUGAGCCGGUCCAAUCCCAGCACACGGGGAGCUGCGGCCGCUGGUGGGGGGGCUGACCUCCGAAGAGAACCCGCUGUCCAGCUCCCACUGCUCACCGGCUGCGGUCCUCACCCUCUUGCUGGCUUUCCCAGCAGGGUCUGACCCCAUCUCAUGUCCUGUCUCUCUCUGGCCCCUGAGCAUUAAGCACAGGUCUCUCCUCUUCGUCUUCAGAACUGUCAUCUUCCUCAGUGCUUCCUUGUGACGCUCCACCCUCUGAAUCUUGCUUGGAGUUCUCUUCUUGGCAGGGCCCAUUAUUCCCUGUGUGUCUGCCUCAAGGGAAGGGGAGGCAAAAUGGCACGCAGUGCUCCGGGAUACAGGCAAGGGGCUCUUCCGAAGCGGUUCCCCUCCGCUUCCGGUCCCUCCACAGUCGCUGACAUUCGGUCUUUUCAUGCCUGUGGAAAUGACAGCUGCAGUGACACAGCUAGUUAACACGUGCACGCGAAAAUGAAUGAGCUAGGUACUUUGGACAUGAUACUCGCGGUGCAAAAAUGACACUAUUUACUCGUUUAUGGAAACAUUUAAAAUGGCACCGCAUGAAUUAUUUGAACCAUUAAACUACCACAGAAUAUCGCUACGAACUGUUCCGCGAAAAUUAGCUGGCGAAUAAAAUAAACUAACACAGAAUAGUGAAAUCAUAAAGGUUUCCGUCUGUCACGGUAUUCAAAUUUGUUGUCCACAUCUGAGAUAUAAAAGAGGAGAGCAUAUCUAACAUCAGCUAACAUAUGCUAAGGCUGAAAUUUAGAUCGCCAUUGUUAACCGAACCGGAACAGCACAAGCACGUUUUUUCCCCAAAUAUUCUUAUAUCUUGUCGUCCAUUACAACUGUGAUGUAAAUUAAGAAUAUGUUUCUAAUAGAACCAGUAACUAUAUCACUUCGCUAAGUAUAAAUAAUGUCACC